rnacentral:rRNA from 1 species
GAUAAAUUUAUUAAGGACGCAAGGAAGAUGAUUAAACACUAGAAGCCAAUGCAGGACGUUACUAAAGACGAAAUGCUAUGCGAGUGAUGUAAGUACGUAUUGAUCCAGAGAUAUACGAGUGGCAAACCCUAGAACGAGUUCUGCCACGUUAUCGUUAUGUGAAUCCAUCGCAUCGCCGAAGGUACCCCCGUACAACUGAAACAUUACAGUGCCAGGAGGAAGAGAAAGAACAUUAUAUUCCCUUAGUCGCGGCGAGCCAAAUGGGAAG